CUGCCUCUUAUCCCUCACAACCCUGACAUGUGGCUGUUCCCAUGCUUUCGGCACAGAGUCAUCCACAUGAAGAACAACCCUGUUUCCUAAGCUGGGGUUUAGUAUCAGCUCACCACUGGAUUGCACCAGCCAACAGAACUGAGUUCAAAAUGCUCACCAGGAUCUUCACCCACACCAUUUCCCUAGCCAGGAAAUGCAAACAGGCUGCCUACUAUUACUAAGCCACUCCUGACUUCACCUCCUUGGGCCCAUCCCUCAGUAUCACCAAAAGCAGCAGGUAAGU